rnacentral:rRNA from 1 species
CAUCAAGCGACUAAGAGCACACGGUGGAUGCCUUGGCACAAGAAGGCGAUGAAGGACGUGAUAAGCUGCGAUAAGCCGCGGGGAGAGGCAAAUACUCUACGAUCCGCGGAUUUCCGAAUGGGAAAACCCAGCAGGCUGAAGGCCUGUUACCUGCAUCUGAAAACAUAGGAUGUAGGGGCUAACCCGGGGAACUGAAACAUCUAAGUACCCGGAGGAAGAGAAAACAAUAGUGACUCCCUAAGUAGUGGCGAGCGAACGGGGAUUAGCCCAAACCGGUAGCAUUUCGGUGCUGCCGGGGUUGUAGGACCUGCGUACGGUGAUCUGCAAGCAGAAGUCGAGGUGGCCUGGAAAGCCACACCAUAGAGGGUGAUAGUCCCGUAGGCGUACAGCGAGCAGCACCGCAGGCACCUGAGUACCACGGGACCGGAGAAAUCUUGUGGGAAUCUGCCAGCACCAUCUGGUAAGGCUAAGUACUCUCUUGUGACCGAUAGCGAACUAGUACCGUGAGGGAAAGGUNAAAAGAANGCCUGANUANGNNAGUNAAAUAGNACCUGAAACCNUNNGCUUACAANCNGUCGGAGNCCGUUUAUCGGGUGACGGCGUGCCUUUUGCAUAAUGAUCCUACGAGUUACUCUUCACUGGCAAGGUUAAGGUGUUCAGCACCGAAGCCGAAGCGAAAGCGAGUCUGAAUAGGGCGUACAGUCAGUGGAGGUAGACGCGAAACCAGGUGAGCUACCCAUGGCCAGGUUGAAGCGCGGGUAAGACCGCGUGGAGGACCGAACGGGUGUCUGUUGAAAAAGGCUCCGAUGAGCUGUGGGUAGGGGUGAAAGGCCUAUCAAACUUGGAAAUAGCUCGUACUCCCCGAAAUGUAUUUAGGUACAGCGUCUCUCCAAAGUGUGCCGGAGGUAGAGCACUGAUUGGACGCGGGCCCUUCACCGGGUACCAACUCCAGACAAACUCCGAAUGCCGGACACAUGUUCAGAGGCAGUGAGGGCGCGGGUGAUAAGAUCCGUGUCCGAGAGGGAAACAACCCAGAUCGACAGCUAAGGCCCCCAAGUCCAUGCUAAGUUGACCAAAGGAGGUCGGACUGCUUAGACAACUAGGAUGUUGGCUUAGAAGCAGCCAUUCAUUUAAAGAGUGCGUAAUAGCUCACUAGUCGAGCGGUCCGGCAUCGAAAAUGUAUCGGGCAUCAAGCAUGGCGCCGAAGCUUCGGAUUCUACUACGUAGAGUGGUAGGGGAGCAUUCCAGCGACGCCGAAGCCGUACCGUGAGGUAUGGUGGAGUUUCUGGAAGAGAAAAUGUAGGAAUGAGUAACGAUAAGACAGGAGAGUAACCUGUCCGCCGUAAGCCCAAGGGUUCCUGUUCAACGUUAAUCGGAACAGGGUUAGUCGGGACCUAAGGCGAGGCCGAAAGGCGUAGUCGAUGGCAAACGGGUUAAAUAUUCCCGUACCUCCCAAAGGCGUUAACCUAAGGUGUGACGCAGAAGCGUAAGGCUCGCGACCCGACGGAAUGGGUCGUUGAAGUACGUAGGCCGGAGCGGUAGGCAAAUCCGCUGCUCCACAUAAGCUGAAAUACGACAGUAGAGGAAUCCGCAAGGUGAACUCACAGUAGCCCCGAGCACACUGCCGAGAAAAGCACCGUAGGUUGUCAAGGGAGCCCGUACCGUAAACCAACACAGGUGGGCGAGGAGAGUAUCCUCAGGCGCUCGAGUGAUGCGCGGUCAAGGAACUAGGCAAAUUGGUCCCCUACGUUAGCAAUAAGGGACGCCACCCUCUGGGUGGCCGCAGUGAAAAGGCCCAACCGACUGUUUAGCAAAAACACAGCUCUCUGCCAAGUCGCAAGACGAAGUAUAGGGAGUGACACCUGCCCGGUGCUGGAAGGUUAAGGAAGGAGGUUAGCUCUUCGGAGCGAAGCUUUCGACCGAAGCCCCAGUAAACGGCGGCCGUAACUAUAACGGUCCUAAGGUAGCGAAAUUCCUUGUCGGGUAAGUUCCGAUCUGCACGAAUGGCGUAACGACUUCCCCACUGUCUCCAGGAUAUGCUCAGCGAAAUUGAAUUCUCCGUGAAGAUGCGGAGUACCCGCGGUUA